rnacentral:rRNA from 1 species
GGUUAAGCGACUAAGCGUACACGGUGGAUGCCCUGGCAGUCAGAGGCGAUGAAGGACGUGCUAAUCUGCGAUAAGCGUCGGUAAGGUGAUAUGAACCGUUAUAACCGGCGAUUUCCGAAUGGGGAAACCCAGUGUGUUUCGACACACUAUCAUUAACUGAAUCCAUAGGUUAAUGAGGCGAACCGGGGGAACUGAAACAUCUAAGUACCCCGAGGAAAAGAAAUCAACCGAGAUUCCCCCAGUAGCGGCGAGCGAACGGGGAGCAGCCCAGAGCCUGAAUCAGUGUGUGUGUUAGUGGAAGCGUCUGGAAAGGCGCGCGAUACAGGGUGACAGCCCCGUACACAAAAAUGCACAUGCUGUGAGCUCGAUGAGUAGGGCGGGACACGUGGUAUCCUGUCUGAAUAUGGGGGGACCAUCCUCCAAGGCUAAAUACUCCUGACUGACCGAUAGUGAACCAGUACCGUGAGGGAAAGGCGAAAAGAACCCCGGCGAGGGGAGUGAAAAAGAACCUGAAACCGUGUACGUACAAGCAGUGGGAGCACAGAGCAAUCUGUGUGACUGCGUACCUUUUGUAUAAUGGGUCAGCGACUUAUAUUCUGUAGCAAGGUUAACCGAAUAGGGGAGCCGAAGGGAAACCGAGUCUUAACUGGGCGUUAAGUUGCAGGGUAUAGACCCGAAACCCGGUGAUCUAGCCAUGGGCAGGUUGAAGGUUGGGUAACACUAACUGGAGGACCGAACCGACUAAUGUUGAAAAAUUAGCGGAUGACUUGUGGCUGGGGGUGAAAGGCCAAUCAAACCGGGAGAUAGCUGGUUCUCCCCGAAAGCUAUUUAGGUAGCGCCUCGUGAAUUCAUCUCCGGGGGUAGAGCACUGUUUCGGCAAGGGGGUCAUCCCGACUUACCAACCCGAUGCAAACUGCGAAUACCGGAGAAUGUUAUCACGGGAGACACACGGCGGGUGCUAACGUCCGUCGUGAAGAGGGAAACAACCCAGACCGCCAGCUAAGGUCCCAAAGUCAUGGUUAAGUGGGAAACGAUGUGGGAAGGCCCAGACAGCCAGGAUGUUGGCUUAGAAGCAGCCAUCAUUUAAAGAAAGCGUAAUAGCUCACUGGUCGAGUCGGCCUGCGCGGAAGAUGUAACGGGGCUAAACCAUGCACCGAAGCUGCGGCAGCGACGCUUAUGCGUUGUUGGGUAGGGGAGCGUUCUGUAAGCCUGUGAAGGUGUGCUGUGAGGCAUGCUGGAGGUAUCAGAAGUGCGAAUGCUGACAUAAGUAACGAUAAAGCGGGUGAAAAGCCCGCUCGCCGGAAGACCAAGGGUUCCUGUCCAACGUUAAUCGGGGCAGGGUGAGUCGACCCCUAAGGCGAGGCCGAAAGGCGUAGUCGAUGGGAAACAGGUUAAUAUUCCUGUACUUGGUGUUACUGCGAAGGGGGGACGGAGAAGGCUAUGUUGGCCGGGCGACGGUUGUCCCGGUUUAAGCGUGUAGGCUGGUUUUCCAGGCAAAUCCGGAAAAUCAAGGCUGAGGCGUGAUGACGAGGCACUACGGUGCUGAAGCAACAAAUGCCCUGCUUCCAGGAAAAGCCUCUAAGCAUCAGGUAACAUCAAAUCGUACCCCAAACCGACACAGGUGGUCAGGUAGAGAAUACCAAGGCGCUUGAGAGAACUCGGGUGAAGGAACUAGGCAAAAUGGUGCCGUAACUUCGGGAGAAGGCACGCUGAUAUGUAGGUGAAGUCCCUCGCGGAUGGAGCUGAAAUCAGUCGAAGAUACCAGCUGGCUGCAACUGUUUAUUAAAAACACAGCACUGUGCAAACACGAAAGUGGACGUAUACGGUGUGACGCCUGCCCGGUGCCGGAAGGUUAAUUGAUGGGGUUAGCGCAAGCGAAGCUCUUGAUCGAAGCCCCGGUAAACGGCGGCCGUAACUAUAACGGUCCUAAGGUAGCGAAAUUCCUUGUCGGGUAAGUUCCGACCUGCACGAAUGGCGUAAUGAUGGCCAGGCUGUCUCCACCCGAGACUCAGUGAAAUUGAACUCGCUGUGAAGAUGCAGUGUACCCGCGGCAAGACGGAAAGACCCCGUGAACCUUUACUAUAGCUUGACACUGAACAUUGAGCCUUGAUGUGUAGGAUAGGUGGGAGGCUUUGAAGUGUGGACGCCAGUCUGCAUGGAGCCGACCUUGAAAUACCACCCUUUAAUGUUUGAUGUUCUAACGUUGACCCGUGAUCCGGGUUGCGGACAGUGUCUGGUGGGUAGUUUGACUGGGGCGGUCUCCUCCUAAAGAGUAACGGAGGAGCACGAAGGUUGGCUAAUCCUGGUCGGACAUCAGGAGGUUAGUGCAAUGGCAUAAGCCAGCUUGACUGCGAGCGUGACGGCGCGAGCAGGUGCGAAAGCAGGUCAUAGUGAUCCGGUGGUUCUGAAUGGAAGGGCCAUCGCUCAACGGAUAAAAGGUACUCCGGGGAUAACAGGCUGAUACCGCCCAAGAGUUCAUAUCGACGGCGGUGUUUGGCACCUCGAUGUCGGCUCAUCACAUCCUGGGGCUGAAGUAGGUCCCAAGGGUAUGGCUGUUCGCCAUUUAAAGUGGUACGCGAGCUGGGUUUAGAACGUCGUGAGACAGUUCGGUCCCUAUCUGCCGUGGGCGCUGGAGAACUGAGGGGGGCUGCUCCUAGUACGAGAGGACCGGAGUGGACGCAUCACUGGUGUUCGGGUUGUCAUGCCAAUGGCACUGCCCGGUAGCUAAAUGCGGAAGAGAUAAGUGCUGAAAGCAUCUAAGCACGAAACUUGCCCCGAGAUGAGUUCUCCCUGACUCCUUGAGAGUCCUGAAGGAACGUUGAAGACGACGACGUUGAUAGGCCGGGUGUGUAAGCGCAGCGAUGCGUUGAGCUAACCGGUACUAAUGAACCGUGAGGCUUAACCUU